UAAUGUGAACGUCUGCGGUGAACUGCCU
rnacentral:sRNA from 1 species